CCUGUUUACCAAAAACAUCGCUCUUUGAUUUUUAAACAUAAAGAGUACUGCCUGCCCAGUGACAUUAUAGGUUAAACGGCCGCGGUAUCUUGACCGUGCGAAGGUAGCAUAAUCAUUUGUCUCCUAAAUAGAGACUGGUAUGAAUGGCAAGACGGAAUUUAACUGUCUCCUCUUUUUAUUUUCGAAUUUUUCUUCCUUGUGAAGAGACAAGGAUACUUUCGUUAGACGAGAAGACCCUGUCGAGCUUGUAACUAAAAGUUAGUUCUUUAAAAAUUUUUAAUUCUUACUAAUAAGCUAAUUUUACAAAAAGUUAAAAAUAAAUUAUCUUUCGUUAGUUUUGGUUGGGGCAACCGUGGAGAAGAUUAACCCUCCAUUAAUUUUAUUUAAUUAAGAUUUUAUAAAUCUAUUACUAUAAAUAAGUUCGACUGAUCCACUCAGGUGAUCAAAGGAAAAAGUUACCGCAGGGAUAACAGCGUUAUCUUUUUUGAGAGUUCAUAUUGACAAAAAGGUUUGCGACCUCGAUGUUGGAUCGGGACAUCCUAAAGGUGCAAAAGCUUUUAAGGGUUGGUCUGUUCGACCAUUAAAGUCCUACGUGAUCUGAGUUCAGACCGGCGAGAGCCAGGUCAGUUUCUAUCUACGA
rnacentral:rRNA from 1 species